GAUGAACGCUGGCGGCGUGCCUAAUACAUGCAAGUCGAGCGAACAGACGAGGAGCUUGCUCCUCUGACGUUAGCGGCGGACGGGUGAGUAACACGUGGAUAACCUACCUAUAAGACUGGGAUAACUUCGGGAAACCGGAGCUAAUACCGGAUAAUAUAUUGAACCGCAUGGUUCAAUAGUGAAAGACGGUUUUGCUGUCACUUAUAGAUGGAUCCGCGCCGCAUUAGCUAGUUGGUAAGGUAACGGCUUACCAAGGCAACGAUGCGUAGCCGACCUGAGAGAGGGAUCGGCCACCCUGGAACUGAGACACGGUCCAGACUCCUACGGGAGGCAGCAGUAGGGAAUCUUCCGCAAUGGGCGAAAGCCUGACGGAGCAACGCCGCGUGAGUGAUGAAGGUCUUCGGAUCGUAAAACUCUGUUAUUAGGGAAGAACAAAUGUGUAAGUAACUAUGCACGUCUUGACGGUACCUAAUCAGAAAGCCACGGCUAACUACGUG
rnacentral:rRNA from 1 species